rnacentral:rRNA from 2 species
UGCAAGUCGAACGGUGAAGGAGGAGCUUGCUCCUUUGGAUCAGUGGCGAACGGGUGAGUAACACGUGAGUAACCUGCCCCAGACUCUGGGAUAAGCACUGGAAACGGUGUCUAAUACCGGAUACGAGCUUCAGCCGCAUGGCUAGGAGCUGGAAAGAAUUUCGGUCUGGGAUGGACUCGCGGCCUAUCAGCUAGUUGGUGAGGUAAUGGCUCACCAAGGCGACGACGGGUAGCCGGCCUGAGAGGGUGACCGGCCACACUGGGACUGAGACACGGCCCAGACUCCUACGGGAGGCAGCAGUGGGGAAUAUUGCACAAUGGGCGCAAGCCUGAUGCAGCAACGCCGCGUGAGGGACGACGGCCUUCGGGUUGUAAACCUCUUUUAGUAGGGAAGAAGCGAAAGUGACGGUACCUGCAGAAAAAGCACCGGCUAACUACGUGCCAGCAGCCGCGGUAAUACGUAGGGUGCAAGCGUUAUCCGGAAUUAUUGGGCGUAAAGAGCUCGUAGGCGGUUUGUCGCGUCUGCUGUGAAAACUGGAGGCUCAACCUCCAGCCUGCAGUGGGUACGGGCAGACUAGAGUGCGGUAGGGGAGAUUGGAAUUCCUGGUGUAGCGGUGGAAUGCGCAGAUAUCAGGAGGAACACCGAUGGCGAAGGCAGAUCUCUGGGCCGUAACUGACGCUGAGGAGCGAAAGCAUGGGGAGCGAACAGGAUUAGAUACCCUGGUAGUCCAUGCCGUAAACGUUGGGAACUAGAUGUAGGGACCAUUCCACGGUUUCUGUGUCGCAGCUAACGCAUUAAGUUCCCCGCCUGGGGAGUACGGCCGCAAGGCUAAAACUCAAAGGAAUUGACG